AUUAAUUGUUUAAUUGUGGCAAAAGAAAGUUUAUGUUUCAUUAACUGCAUAAAAUUAGUUUAUUUUUUGGUACGAUUUAGUAUUAUUUGUUUUGUUUAGCAGUUAAUUUUUUGUUAAAAUUAAAGUUUUAUAAGGGUGAGGCAUUAAAAGGGGAUAGGACACAGUGCCAGCAUCUGCGGUUAAUCUGUUUUCUUUGCUUUUAUAUAGAUUAUGUGUGUUUAUUUAUAUUUAAAAAUAGGUCAAAUUUUUUUAUUUAAGUUUUAAAUAUUCAUUUUUGUAUAAAAUUUAUGUUUGUGACAGGGAUUAGAUACCCCACUAACGUAUUUUGUAGUAUUAUCUUAGUUUAUUAACUAAAAUGGUUUGGCAGUGAGUGAUUCUUUUUAGGGGAAGGUGUGGUGUAAAGGAUGUUCCGCCUAUUAAUUUACUUUUAUUAUGUUGGUGUAUAUCUGGUUUAAUAUUAUUGUUGAAUAGUAUAAGUUUGUGUAAUUUUAUUAGUUAAGCCAAGUCUAUGUGCUGCUUAUAGAAGUAUUCAUGCGUUACUUUAAUAAAGUUUUAGUUGUAAGUACUAUCAUAUUCAGGACUUAAAAGUAAUGUUAAAUUAGUUUGUUAAUGUGAAAUAAGUUUAGCUCAUGUACACACCGCCCGUCACCCUCGAUUUUUAUUGAGGUAAGUCGUAACAAGGUAACUUUAAAUGAAUUUGAAGUUGGUUACUGGGGAGGGUAUGCUUCUCGGUUUUA
rnacentral:rRNA from 1 species